rnacentral:lncRNA from 1 species
AUCGAACUCCGUCCGAGCUCCCAUAGUGGAUGGAUUUCGAACGAGCUUUCAUAACGGAUGGACUCCACUAGCUAGAUUUCUACAAUGGUCGAUCGCCCCCGGAUCCCCCAUACUCCUCCGGCAGACGAGUCUCUCCAGCGCUAUUCGAGGUCCAUCACUGGCCGACCUCCUACCAGGCUCCUAGUAAGACCGGACUUCCCCAGUGGAUGAUCUUCAAACGAGCUUCUAUGCUAGGCAGAUCCC